AUGUUGCCAGAAGGAAUACUUUUCUCAAUAGGUUGCCUUGCCUAUCAUAAGGACAUAAAGAUUGGUGAUGGUCUCUCUCAUCCCAAAGAAAUCCUACACGUUCAGAGUACUUCUUAUUGGGCGCCUGCUAGCAAUGGACCAUAUGGCCAGUCUGUCAAGCUUUCUUCUAUCGGUUGUGCAACAGUCAUUGUAACGAAUGUCAGAUAUAGCGUGAUAUUUCAAGGAAGUUUAACUUGAACAAUUACUGAUUUCAUCCAGACUCCGGAGCCUCUGUUUUGUCAAGAAGGUACUAUUUUUAAAAGGAUAAAAUGCCUUUGUAAUCUAUAAUUAUUUUCUGAUCCAUGGCAUUCUUAUAGUCUCCUGAUUAGCCAGCA
rnacentral:lncRNA from 1 species